rnacentral:rRNA from 1 species
GACGAACGCUGGCGGCGUGCUUAACACAUGCAAGUCGAACGGAAAGGCCCGGCUUUGGUGGGGUGCGCGAGUUGCGAACGGGGGAGUAACACGUGAGUAAGCUGCCCUUGACUGUGGGAGAACUUCAGGAAGCUGGGGCUAAUACCGGAUAGGAGCUCCUGCUGCAUGGUGGGGGUUGGAAAGUUUCGGCGGUUGGGGAUGGAAUCGCGCCUUAUCAGCUUGUUGGUGGGGUAGUGUCUGACCAAGGCCUUGACGGGUAGCCGACCUGGUAGGGUGACCGGACCCAUUAGGACUGGGAUGAGGCCCAGCCCAGUACGGGAGGCAGCGGUGGGGUAUAUUGCACUAUGGGCGGAACGCUGAUCCAGCCCCGCCGCGCGGGGGAAGACGGCAUUCGCGUUGUAAUCCGCUUUCCCCUGUCACGAAGCGUGAGUGACGGUAAUGGGUAAAGAAGCACCGGCUAACUCCGUG